GAAAGAGCAGGCUUCACUUAGACAAAGUUGCGCUGUGAGCGCCCCUCCAGCGUUUGGUUUCAUCCAGCAUUUACUGGGUUAACCUUGAAGCCGAAGCGCGGGGGAGGGGUGGUUCUCCGGAACUUGGACAUCAUUGGCUACGGGUAACCCUGGUAACGCCAUACUUGGGCCUUUUCCGCCUUGCUGGGGCAGAAACGGCGCUAAGGCUUAUGGCCUCCAUCUUAGAACCUCCACUUUACUUUCGGUUUUGCGUGUAGCGAGUUGUGCCUCAUAGAAGAGGAGAAAAAUAUUCUUCGCUCAGAAGUUGGAGCAGAACCCUUUUCGGACCAUUGUGGACGUACCGCGUGCUUUGGACCGAAACGUUUUUUUGGAUUACAUUCGCUGGAUUAUAACAAACAGAAUGAGACCGCACUCGACGUGACUGAGCGACGUUUGGGGCUCAGCAGUCGUCAAAAAUUUGCCUUCGUGCUCCUGCUCCUCCUCAUGAAGAAGGAGGUCACCAUCUGCGAGGCGGUGCAGCCAAGUCACACUCUGAAUCUAUUAAUCAGAGCUGCGUUGGAACAGACAACUGCGAGACGCCAUAAUCUAAAUAUUGGCUGCGACGCAUCAGGGGAGAGGCUGGUGGUUGGUAGAGAACGGACGUGCAGCGGCCGCUUUAUUAGGAACCCAAGGAAUGACUGAGGCCCAUGAGAGGACGGCGCUGAUACGAGGUGCUUUUGUUUUGGCCACUGAGAAACUCAGCGAAUCCUGAGGAGCUGAAACACAAAGUAGGUUCAUCAUUUAGACCAGGAUGAAGACGAACAGCAGGUUGUUAAGAGCCUCGCGUCACUGUCAUCAGUCCGCUCAGGGUCUCAUCCUGGCACUCCUGGACUUCAUUACCCAGCAUUCAUAGCUGCCCAGUCCAGUAUGGUAAGUUCACGUGAUGCAGGACGUGAUGAGACUCCGCUGGCUUCUAAUCACUCUAUUAAUGAUACUUUCCAAGUGUUUUGAUUUUUAAGUAACAAGAGAUGUGAUUUGGUGGCAUCUUUAAACUAAUUACCACUGAAUUACUGCUGCUUAUUUUGGCAUUAGUCACUGCUUCCCCGUCUUUAGCCUGUGGUUUCAAAGACGUGCCACUAAAUGCCUUUGAUUCUCUCCCCCCGCAGGCUUCAAACGAUGCUGCUACUGCCAGGAUGUAGAUGUGCAGCGUAUAUGACAGCUGAUGUCGGCGCUCGUUACCAUUACAGACUCCUAAUAAAUGCUUACUGAGCUGUCA
rnacentral:lncRNA from 1 species